GGGCUAAGGACUCUGAAAUUGACACCAAAGAAGAAUUUUCCCCUGAUCUGGCGGACCUGUGAUGUUCUUCAGCUUUAUCUAAAGUCUUUUGGCAGGACAGCUCGUUUGACGAGUCCAGAGGGACGUCAGCGAGACUACUUUGAGGCAGAGUUCUUUUUUAAAGAAGAAGCUGAAGAUGCAUUGCAGAACUGCAAAAUCCCAAACAUGACCAUUGAAUGGGCUGAAGCAAACAUAUCAGACAAUCCACUUACAGGACCAGCACAAAUUUCGUAUGACCCACCAAGGUGUGACUACGAUGAUUUUAACAUUCUGGUAAACAGCUCGAGCACAACUUUUAAAUAAUUCGCUUAUUGGUCUGAAGCAAACAUAUCAGACAAUCCACUUACAGGACCAGCACAAAUUUCGUAUGACCCACCAAGGUGUGACUACGAUGAUUUUAACAUUCUGCCAUUAGUACCACAGCCACGAAACAAUCCUUUUCACAUAAAAUGGGUAUUACCUAAAAUGCCGAAAAGACAACAAGGCCAGCCAGAAGAACCUCAAUUACCAGCCGCUCGCUAUUCCCCUGAAAAAGUUAAGGUUGAGCCAGCAGACCCAAGAAAACCGGCCAAGCCGCGGUACUGGCCUAAGUUUCCAAUAUAUCUGCCAAUAAAAUGACGCCUCGGAUGAGAAAGGCUACAUCGGCUCGCAGUAAGCUCCAGGAGUAGAAGAAUCUUUUGUUGAGAAACAAGACAUUCAAGGCUCUCUUUCUCUUGUCGAGAAAUAAGACAUUCAAGGCUCUCUUUUCUUAAAAGAAAGUGCAUUUUUUGUGGAAUUGUGGGAUUCGUCCCUUCACUACUUUUUUUUGGUAGAGCUGCUGUCUCCUAGAGCUUACUGUGCAAUAGACAUGCAUGAAGUAUUCGUAGUCUUUUUUAUUCAAGUUUAGAUUUCCAAGCAUAUAUGCUAUAGCCUAAAAAAAAACUGGUCGAAAUGCAGGUUUGGUCUGUUGUUGAAGCUGUUUUUUA
rnacentral:rRNA from 1 species